rnacentral:rRNA from 1 species
AUUGAACGCUGGCGGUAUGCUUAAGACAUGCAAGUCGAACGGUAACAGACCUUCGGGUGCUGACGAGUGGCGGACGGGUGAGUAACACGUGGGAAUCUACCUUGUAGUGGGGGAUAAGCCAGGGAAACUUGGACUAAUACCGCAUACGCCCUAAGGGGGAAAGGAGCAAUUCGCUAUAAGAUGAGCCCGCGUCUGAUUAGCUAGUUGGUGAGGUAAAAAGCUCACCAAGGCGACGAUCAGUAGCUGGUCUGAGAGGAUGACCAGCCACAUUGGGACUGAGACACGGCCCAGACUCCUACGGGAGGCAGCAGUCGGGAAUAUUGGACAAUGGGGGCAACCCUGAUCCAGCAAUACCGCGUGUGUGAAGAAGGCCUGCGGGUUGUAAAGCACUUUUAGUAGGGAAGAUAAUGACGUUACCUACAGAAAAAGCACCGGCUAACUCCGUGCCAGCAGCCGCGGUAAUGUGCGCGAGUU